CAGUAGCCGCGGGAAUACAGAGGGUGCGAGCGUUAAUCGGAUUUACUGGGCGUAAAGCGUGCGUAGGCGGCUUUUUAAGUCGGAUGUGAAAUCCCUGAGCUUAACUUAGGAAUUGCAUUCGAUACUGGGAAGCUAGAGUAUGGGAGAGGAUGGUAGAAUUCCAGGUGUAGCGGUGAAAUGCGUAGAGAUCUGGAGGAAUACCGAUGGCGAAGGCAGCCAUCUGGCCUAAUACUGACGCUGAGGUACGAAAGCAUGGGGAGCAAACAGGAUUAGAGACCCCCGUAGUCCCUGUCUCUUAUAA
rnacentral:rRNA from 1 species